UGGAAUACUCUACUUCCAACAAUAGCUUACUUCUGUUGUGAAUGUCUGAGAAGACUGGCAUAAUGAAAAGAGUUUGGGACAAAUGAACCAGAGAGAAAACCUCAUGAAUGCUUCAGAAUGCAUUUCAGCACUUCACUAGACAAAGCUGGGAAAGCAUGGCCCUAUUCCAACAGACUCCCCGGAGGCCUGGUCUCAGGAGUGGAAUUACGGAGUUGUAGGAUGUAGACAGCACAGAGCUCUUACACAGCUAUCCACCAAGUUUGCAGGAAGUUAUCAUCCAGAUACUUCAGCUAUAAUAUAGUAUACACAUUUUUGAUGGUCCUUGCUGUCUACAAAAUCAUACACUAAAAGUAACAGGGCUUAUGGGAAAAAUGUUAAAGGCAGACCACUCAAACAAUACAACCUGGUAACUAGAACAAAGAUGUGUUUGCUCCAAAUAAUUAAAAUACCACUAUAAAUACAGGAUUUUUUCCCGAAGGUGUAAACUUUGACCUAAGAGGACUAAGGAAGGAUUAAUAUGGAGACAAAAGCCCAAUGCACAAACUAUGAAUGAAGCAAGUAUUUCCAAAAUAAAGCCCAUGGCCUAACUGAACUGGGUAUAAAAACAUUCAGUGGAUGGGUAUCUUUAUAACAGCAGGCACACCUCAUAUAUGGGGGUUCGGUUCCAGACCUCUGCAAUAAAGUGAAUAUCGCAAUAAAAAGAGUCAAAUAGUUUUUCUGGUUUCCCAGUGCAUAUCAAAGUUAUGUCCACACUUUACCUUAAUUAAAAAAUACUUUAUUGCUAAAAAAGGCUAACUACCAUCUGAGUUUUUAGUGAGUCAUGAUCACAGAUCACCGUAACAAAUAAAUAAUGAAAGUAUGAAAUACUCUGAGAUUUACCAAAAUGUGACACAGACACGAAGUAUACAGAUGCUGCUGGAAAAAUGGUGCCCACAGACUUGCUCCACAGGGCUGCCACAAACCUUCAAUUAGUAAAACAACACAGUAUUUGUGAAGCGCAAUAAAACGAAGUGCAACGAAACACGGUAUACCUGCAUCGUAUUCUCCCAUGGCUUGCUUCCACAUAUGCUUUCAUCUGCUUUUAUUUGCUGGAGCAAAACACUGAUGUGCUGAGAAAUACUAUGGAUGAACCAGUAAGAUCAUCUCAUUGUACCGUCACCGUUUCUUCCACUUACCAACUGCAACGCGCUAACUGCAUUACAGAAAGUUGCUGAAGGAGAGUAUUGUUUCAGAUACUACAACAACUGUUGUUUGUGUAUUAUAAAAAAACAAAAAAAACC